rnacentral:rRNA from 1 species
GGGGGCCCGCAAGCGGUGGAGCAUGUGGUUCAAUUCAACGCAACGCGAAGAACCUUACCUGGGCUCGAACGGCUGGUCAACGGAGGUGGAAACACCUUUACCCCGCAAGGGGGUCCAGUCGAGGUGCUGCAUGGCUGUCGUCAGCUCGUGUCGUGAGAUGUUGGGUUAAGUCCCGCAACGAGCGCAACCCUUGUCCUGUGUUGCCAUGCCGAAAGGCGGAACUCGCAGGAGACCGCCAGCGAUAAGCUGGAGGAAGGUGGGGAUGACGUCAAGUCCUCAUGGCCUUUAUGUCCAGGGCUACACACGUGCCACAAUGGACGGUACAAAGCGUCCCUAACCCGCGAGGGGGAGGCAAUCGCAAAAAACCGUUCUCAGUUCGGAUUGCAGGCUGCAACUCGCCUGCAUGAAGCUGGAAUCGCUAGUAAUGGCAGAUCAGCACGCUGCCGUGAAUACGUUCCCGGGCCUUGUACACACC